rnacentral:sRNA from 2 species
AUCAAAUAUGGGCCUAGUUCCGUUCAGGACGGAAGCGGGGGAACCACCUCUGGGGUUAAUUCUGCAUCAAGCAGAAGGGAUGCCAAACUGCCAUCCUACCCGUCAGCUAACCUCGUCGGCUAAAGCAGAUCAUGU